AAUUUAUUGUUAAACAUUUCAAAUUCAAUUUCACCCAUUUGGAGACAAUUGAGACAAAUCUUAAAAGGUUUGGCUAUUUUCCACAAAAUUAGAAGUUUUGGAUAUAAUAGUGAUUUGACAUAAAUGUUUGGCCUUUUUUCUUUAGUCCAAUUGACCAACUUAUAAUUGAAUUUUAGUAUGAUGAUUAAACUUCAAUUUAUUGCAAAUAAGACAUAACAGAUCAACUUUCAUUUCAAUAAGGUCAGCAGGGGUAUAUUCCAGCCAAUAGCCACUGGAAAUCUCAAGUUGCAUCUUGCUGAAAAUCUGCCUAAUGAUCCUAAUUAAGAGGUUGGACAGACAGAGUGUGGAGUAUUGGUCUUGGUCUAGCUUAGAAUUACCAUUUUUGCAUCUUUUAAUUUAUGUAAAUAGCUUUUUAUGACCAAAAUGUGGCUACAAUGACCUUAUUGAAACAAAUUAAACAUUGGUAUUUUUUCUGCAAAUUAAAACUUAGUUACUUUGCUAAACUUAUGCUUAAUUGAAUGAUCAUAGACGUAAUUUGCCUUUGUGGGGUAGUCCUCUAAUAAACUCUAACGAAUUAACUUUAGUUAAUCCAUCUGCUAAUUCAAGCAAGGCAAAUCAGUUCGUCAUCCUUCAUUCAUUUUUCCUCUAUGGAAAGGGAAGGAUAUUAAGGGCUCAAACACAUGCCUAUCACAAUAGCAUAAUCCCAUCGAAAACAUAUUGCAGGAUAAUUUCAUCUAUUAUCAUUAAAGGGGAAAAAUCUCGAACAAAACCCUAAUUCCACCUAAUAUUAUCGCAGCAACAAAAACAUAGAAAUUCACGGAAUAGAAACCUCAACUGCAGAAAGAAACUAAUAAUAUCACAAAA
rnacentral:misc_RNA from 1 species